UCCUUCCCUCACCUGUUGUUUUCCCCUCCUCUCUCCACCUGCAGCUCAUCCCCUCAUCAGUGUGUAUAUAAUCUUUGUGCUCUCCUCUUGUCUUCGUCAGAUCGUUCCUGUUUCCCACUGUUACUGUCAUGGUUUUGCUCGCCUCAUCUGCCUCCCGAGUGUUUCUGCGUCUGGGUCCUACCCGCCUCUCUGUCAUUCUGGAUUACGGCCACAGUUUGAGAGUGAGGAUGGAUCUGUAUAAGUGUCUCCGCGAGACCUAACAGCAUGCGUCCCCUGCGCUCUGGCCCCCGCCUCCCCCUCGACGCUCCGGGUAACUCGCCGUGGGUACAUGUGGGGGCCUCGGCGCCUGCGCUGCCCAGGAUCCCCGCCGUCACCUCGCCGGGCGACUGACACCGGAGUAAUUUCAUCUGACAGGUGACUUAACGAAGCUUUGGUCCGUGGCAGGCAGCAGACCAAAAGGCUGGAGGAUAUAUGUUGGGCCUGUCAGACUUGUUUUCAGCUGGGAGCUACGUGUCCUGUCAAUAUUUAGAUUUGCUGCCGGUUUCUGAUAGCCCGCGUUAUCAGAGCAAAGAGAAUGAGAUAUUGCGUGCUGCGCCUUACUGUCUGUUUAAUCCACAGGGGAAUUAUUCAAACACCAGCCCGGUGUCAGACAUCGAGGAACACGGUGUGAUGAAUAAAGGCUUCGUACUGUGUUUACCUUUUUCACAAUUCUCCUUCAGAAACACGAAGUCCUAUAACUCUCCCACUCGAGACAUAAGUAACGUCACACUGAAGCCUCGGCGCUCCAAAACGGAGCAGACAGGCCAAAUGAGAUGCUAUGGGUGCUGUUCAUGACAGCAGACAGGGGUCACGGACGGCCAGCUGCUCAGCCACUAAAUGUCUGACACAUUUAUUGGACAUGAAAAAUGAAAAUAUCGAUGGAUUUAACUCCAGGGUCAGAGUUAUCAGAAGAGACGGCUGAGACACCGCAGAACGGAGAAGGAGCCGCCGCCGCGAUCACACACGGCCCACAUAAUCAUAAGCGAUGCUGUCACCAUCUCAUUAGACAAGCAACAGGUGUACGCAAUCAAACGGCAGGUGUUGGUAAUUAUAUGACAGCAACACGGCCAAUGAGCACUGUUUGUGGCAAUGUUCCAUAUUGGCAGGAAAUGCAUGAAGUGUCAUGAAAUGUAAUGAAUACAAACUCAUCUCCCCGACGAGUUUAUUUCCACAAAGCAGCAGCAGGCAUCAGCUGUCAGAGUCGGGUCAGUCGAGGAUGAGGCGCUUCGCUCUUUCAUACCUGAAAAUCGUGUUUCUGAAGGUCAAGGACGCGCUGUUUCCUGUGCCGCGUCUUUAUUCGUCUGUAACUGGAGGAUGUAAAUAUCGUGCAGACGUCUGUUCGCUGAGCAGCGUCUGCCUAACGAAGUGCCUUCACGAGUGUUUCUGAGCAGUUCAUCCUUUUUCUCAGAGAUGAUCCCUCGGCCAAGUCGAGAACUGGAGACGGAGCCGCCGAGAGACCGAUCUCUACGACUUACUGUGAGAAAUGCAACCACAACAGUUCUUAUCCUGUGAAGCCUGGACAGAAUCCCCCAAUCUUCUUCUUUUUUUUUUUUAAUUAAGAAAAAAAAAAGUAUGGGUGAUUUCCACAAAUACACCACGGGACUGUACACAAUCUGUACUUGUUAUUACAGGACAAUCAAUGUUUUACAACAAGGGAGGGCGACUGUAUAUCAGCUGCAGGGAUUAGAGGCUCCUAUGGAGCCGAUACCGCUCGGAGGAAUCACAGAGGCCACAGGCUCAGGAGAGGAGGAGGGACAGACCUGCGCCUGGGUACAAAUCAAUACCCAGCAUGCAGUGAUAAAUCCUCCCAGCUCCGAUGACCGACCGGCCCUCACACCCUCGCACACAAAACAAUCUCGGUCCCCCAUGUCAAAACAGCCAAAAGCUAUCACUGCCAUGGAUCACAGGCACGCCGAUGUGUCAGCUGAAAGUCAGCUUAGAGCCGAGCUGAAAGAGAUCGCUGGUCCUCGGCUUCGGUGGACUCUACUAUGUUUAGAAGGUAUUUAUGGAACGGAGAGUUUAGCUUCAGGUUCACAGACAGUUUAAGCUCAGGUAUCCAUUUUUAGGAGGGAACUUUGUCCUGGACUCGAACUUUUCAUGCAGAUUUUUAUGAAUCAUCCAUCACAUAGUCACUUCAGACAGAGUGCAUGCUAACGUUGUAAGCUAAGCAACUACAGUGAAGAUUUCAACCGUCAAAAGAGUUUCAACAACGUCCUUUCAAAUGAUUGUGGAAUUUAUUCCUUUAGGAUGAUGCUGCGAUGUUGUUCUGCACUGCUGUUUGUGGACUACGAAACUUUCAAUCCGCAUGAACGCGAGCAAAUGCUGAACUUUGUGUGGACCUUCCCCUUUAAAGAUAAAUAAACAGAUGUGUUUUUUUUAAGCUGCAUAGAUUUUUGAAACCAGAGACAUCUGAUACUUCUGACCGCGUCGUAGCUAUUUAUAACCCACUGAAGCUUGACUCGGUGUCACUGACUCGCGACGCUGAUGGGUUGAUCUGUCCAAACACAUCGAGUAAAGCCAACUUUAAACCAAACCACAAACAUGUUUAUAAAGAUAAGAAUCAGACAAAUAUGACUCAACAUGUCGCCCUGUCUGCAUGCAUCACUGAUCGGUCUGUGACGGUAAGACUACGACACAAAAGACGCCAUUACACGGCCGAGCAGCUCCACUAUUGUCGGCAUCGGGCCACUUGACUCAGACAUGUUGAUGUAUGAAGGGUGUCGUCAUUCAAACAGCGUGUGGGCUUUGGUGCAAGGCCACAGCACAGGUUGCUAUGUGAAAAAAAUCAAUAGGAGGCCAGCACUGUGAAAGGAUCAUGUCUGCUGCAGAGGGACGCACCAGGAAGCCACAACAUUUUGUUUAUUCCACCUCGCAUAUUGGGAGGUAACUAACACCAUAAACUACCGUGAAAUAUAAGGUUAUUUUCUCUUAUAUAUGCAACAGCUCUCAAUCAUAAAUCUGACGCACUAUCAAAACAAAUUGAACCUGGUUUACUGCAUCCGACCGCCGGUGAGCAGGAGUAGCGAGCUGAGAGGGGAAGGCUGCAGUGUUUUCAGGGAUGAUAUACUGUUCUACAUUCACACAGCUGAUGCAUUUUUUAUGUCCAAAAAAAAAAAAGAAAAAACAGGGAGGCUUUCUCACCUUCAAUUUUAAAAGUGUUUACUCAGCAGUGGACCUGAGAGCUGAUAAAAUAAGUUAGAGCACCUGAAUUAAAAAUGAUUCUUCACCAGAGAAACUGUCCCCUCCAAAAAAAACGCUCCCCUGCGGCGUCUCCUUCCUUGGUGAUAAUGCGAUUGGAAAAAAGGUCCUGGCUCACCAAUAAAAGCCAACCCCAGUGCAGUCCCUCUCUCCUCUCCUCUCCUCUCUCUGUCUGCAUCCCUGUUAUGUAGUUUGGCUCUUCUAUCUCCUUUUUAUGACUUCAGUGAUCUGCAUUUUGUACGUGCCAUAAAUACGGGCAGCCCCGAGGGGUAGAAACAGAACAUUAUUGGGCAAACUGCGCCACCGAAAAGAGAAGAGACGACCACAUUUCACAAACACAUUAAAGGAAACUGAACUUAGAACAAAAGAGGAGAGACGUGCAAAUGUGAAAAAAAAAAAAAAAUACGCCUACACGCACAUCUUAAGCUUACUUGUUAGCAUAUUAGCCUAUAUUUUGGUUAUAUGGUCCAUAAAAAAAUGUGUAAAUAAAGGACAAAAAAAAAACAAAAACAUUUUACAGUGGUUGAUGUGCCGGAAUGUUUCUUUUCCAGGAUCGACUCCAACUUUUGUAGGUAUGAGAGGUUUUGUCACCGUUGCACCUCAGGCAAGAUGGUUCUCUGCAACAUUCUGGAAAUAUUUCACUGAAAAGAAAACGCUUCAACAUGCACAUUUACUUCAAGGCGUACGUUUUCAAGACAUAGCAUUAUCCCGACCUGCCGAGUUCUGUUUGUAGUUAGCACGUGAUGUUACAUUACAUCUGUCAAAUUGUCACAGAAACCCUGGAUUUGUGUUUUUGACAGUAGUUUAGCACUCAGAGAAAAUGAGUGUGCAUUUCUACGUAACGUUGCUUUAAGUUAGCCGGUGUCUGGCGGCAGAGCGUUGUGUUUGAGGGACAGACGUGGCUAAGUUAGCUUAAAUGAGCACCAAAAAACAAAAAAAAAACAGUGUAAACAGCUCAGUGGGUCUGCCAGCCAACUGUGGACACAGCUAGGCUAGCAGUUUCUCUUGUUCAUAGUCAUGCUAAGCUAAGCUAAGUUAAGCUGUGCAGCAUCUGACUGUAGAUUCAAACUCACAGCAGACGUGAGCAAGAAAGCAAAUAGGCACUUUUCAAUAAAUGUCGUACUUGUGCAUUGAA